CAGACAUAGUGUUCUCACAAGAUCUUUACUGUCUCACUGUUAAGUGAAAGCAACAGACCAGGUGCUCUGAUGCCAAUUGAAGGUGUGAAAACACAAGAAGGGGGGGGUUGAAUUGUGUUUUAGCCAAGUUAAAACUUUUUCAAGUUCUUAACUCAACUACGUUCGCAGCGGAUAAAUAACACAAAUAAUAACAAGAGAGAGAGAGAGAGAAAACACACAAGCAGUUUAUACUGGUUCCUCUCACAGAACGAGAGUAGUCCAGUCCCCUUGCACUUCCAAGGGAGUUCACUAUAAUCACACAAGAUUACACCUGCUCAAGCACACAAGCAAGAGACUUCUCAACAAUGCUCAAGCACACAAGCUUAAGACUUCACACUUAAGCACACAAGCUUAAGUUUCACACUUAAGCACACAAGCUUAAGUUUCCUCAAGUAAAUAGUAAAGUAUAUAAAAAUAUACA
rnacentral:lncRNA from 1 species